UGACACGAGGUGCUGCAUGGCUGUCGUCAGCUCGUGUCGUGAGAUUGGUUGGGUUAACGUCCCGUAACGAGCGCAACCCUUGUCCUUAGUUACCAGCACGUUAUGGUGGGCACUCUAAGGAGACUGCCGGUGACAAACCGGAGGAAGGUGGGGAUGACGUCAAGUCAUCAUGGCCCUUACGGCCUGGGCUACACACGUGCUACAAUGGUCGGUACAAAGGGUUGCCAAGCCGCGAGGUGGAGCUAAUCCCAUAAAACCGAUCGUAGUCCGGAUCGCAGUCUGCAACUCGACUGCGUGAAGUCGGAAUCGCUAGUAAUCGUGAAUCAGAAUGUCACGGUGAAUACGUUCCCGGGCCUU
rnacentral:rRNA from 1 species